rnacentral:lncRNA from 1 species
UAACAAUUUAGCUUCAGGCUGAUGAUGGAGAUAGCCAGGCACUUACCUGACCAACUCCGCGAAUCACGGCAUUAUUCCUUCCUCUUUCCUGGCUGAUAAAACGUAUGGAAUGAUGGGGAGAACCAACGGCGUAAUUACUCAUUUCUGCCUGGAAAGAUGUCCAGUUUUGAUUAUGAAUAUGUUGCAUUCGAAAGCAGGUACCAGAUACUGUAACCCAGUAGUCCAGCGUAUUUGAUUUUCAAUAACAGAAUGUAACCAGAGUUCUUUUUUUUUCUUUUAGGAACAAGUCUUUUCUCAAUUAUGUAUAAAGAGACAAGAUAAAAAACAAUACUAAUUGAAAACCAGUAUUAAAAAAGAAAAAAAGUUGUAGAAACGCAGCUAUGGGAAGAUGUAUACAAUGGGAAAGAUAAAGAGGAAUUUG